ACGGGUGAGUAACACGUGAGUAACCUGCCCUUGACUCUGGGAUAAGCGCUAGAAAUGGCGUCUAAUACCGGAUACGAGCUUCAGCCGCAUGGCUAGGAGUUGGAAAGGAUUUUGGUCAAGGAUGGACUCGCGGCCUAUCAGCUAGUUGGUGAGGUAAUGGCUCUCCAAGGCGACGACGGGUAGCCGGCCUGAGAGGGUGACCGGCCACACUGGGACUGAGACACGGCCCAGACUCCUACGGGAGGCAGCAGUGGGGAAUAUUGCACAAUGGGCGAAAGCCUGAUGCAGCAACGCCGCGUGAGGGAUGACGGCCUUCGGGUUGUAAACCUCUUUUAGUAGGGAAGAAGCGAAAGUGACGGUACCUGCAGAAAAAGCACCGGCUAACUACGUGCCAGCAGCCGCGGUAAUACGUAGGGUGCAAGCGUUGUCCGGAAUUAUUGGGCGUAAAGAGCUCGUAGGCGGUUUGUCGCGUCUGCUGUGAAAUCUGGGGGCUCAACCCCCAGCCUGCAGUGGGUACGGGCAGACUAGAGUGCGGUAGGGGAGAUUGGAAUUCCUGGUGUAGCGGUGGAAUGCGCAGA
rnacentral:rRNA from 1 species